UACGAAGGGGGCUAGCGUUGCUCGGAAUCACUGGGCGUAAAGGGUGCGUAGGCGGGUCUUUAAGUCAGGGGUGAAAUCCUGGAGCUCAACUCCAGAACUGCCUUUGAUACUGAGGAUCUUGAGUACGGGAGAGGUGAGUGGAACUGCGAGUGUAGAGGUGAAAUUCGUAGAUAUUCGCAGGAACACCAGUGGCGAAGGCGGCUUACUGGUCCAUUACUGACACUGAGGCGCGAAAGCGUGGGGAGCGAACAGG
rnacentral:rRNA from 1 species